rnacentral:tRNA from 1 species
GCCUGGGUGGCUUAGUCAGCUGAGCGUCUGACUUCAGCUCAGGGCAUGAUCUCACGGUUCGUGGGUUCAAGCCCCGCGUCAGACU